rnacentral:rRNA from 1 species
CCUACGGGAUGCAGCAGUGAGGAAUAUUGGUCAAUGGGAGAGAUCCUGAACCAGCCAAGCCGCGUGAGGGAAGACGGCCCUAUGGGUUGUAAACCUCUUUUGUCGGAGAACAAAACCCGGGACGAGUCCCGGACUGCGUGUAUCCGAAGAAAAAGCAUCGGCUAACUCCGUGCCAGCAGCCGCGGUAAUACGGAGGGUGCAAGCGUUGUCCGGAAUCAUUGGGCGUAAAGAGUUCGUAGGCGGUAUGUUAAGUCUGGUGUUAAAUGCAGAAGCUCAACUUCUGUUCGGCACUGGAUACUGGCAAACUAGAAUGCGGUAGAGGUAAAGGGAAUGCCUGGUGUAGCGGUGAAAUGCUUAGAUAUCAGGAGGAACAUCGGUGGCGUAAGCGCUUUACUGGGCCGUAAUUGACGCUGAGGAACGAAAGCCAGGGUAGCAAAUGGGAUUAGAUACCCGUGUAGUC